UGUGCAUUUCCUGCUUUUUGUUAUUCGUUUUGUUUCUCUUGCUUUGUAUGUAGGAGCUAAAAGCCUCCUUUUCUUUCUCUUGCCAUAAUCACCACAUUUUGCGGCAAGUUGUCUGACUUGAGAACUGAGAUCAAGGGAUCAAGGAGCGUCAAAAACAAGUAACUUGUCUGGUGUUUAAGGUGUGCAACAAUUAUUGGCACCCUUUUAGUCAAUAGUUUGUUCUACCUCCCUUUGCCAAGAUAACAGCUCUGAGUCUUCUUCUAUAAUGACAUGAGGUUGAGAAUACAUGGCAAGGGUUCUGAGACCAUUUCUCCAUACAGAAUCUCUCCAGAUCCUUCAAAUUUCGAGGUCCAUGCUGGUGGACUAAGUAUCCACUCUGCUAAGUAUUAAAUAAAUUUCGGUUACCGUGGUCCGUACUUUUUUCCUAUGUCAUUCCACUUUAUUACACAUCACUUUAUUUAUAGACUUUAAUGUUGUGAAUUCUUUAUAUUUCUGGAUUUCUUGAGUUAAUACUGAUGACUGGUGAAAAUUUCAUGUGAAAAGCCUGAACUUUUUUUGACACGUCCAAAACUUAUUUCCCCCACUGUAUAAUUCAUUAUAAGCAUGGGCUUCAUAGAAAGUGUUACCAAACACUCUAACAGUGAUCAUUAAUGUUUCCUCCGAGUUGCUUUUCCUGCCAUAUAUUACAUAGAGUAAUCAUUUCCUUUCUUCUGCUGUAUGGACCAAUAACUACUUCGCCUGUGACAUGCUCUUAUGUUUUCAAAGCUCCUCUGAAUUGUAUGACUGUUUGUUCUGCUGCUAGGUGGGUGCACAAGGUAGCUUUCCAAAGAGGAUAUCUAUAUAAUAGCAUUUAAAAUAUUUACUGAAAUAGAUGUGAAUUACAACAUUACAAAUACAUACCUUACAAUAGUUCCUGAAUGCUAUUAAAUUAUUGUUCCUCAAUAGAAUUGAACGUUUUUCUAAAAACAGUAGCACAAAAAUCAUAUGAAUGUAAAUAUAAAAUGUUAGUUUUUAACAGGCAAUAAUAAAUUCUAAUUAAAUAUGUGCCAUUACAUUAUAUUUUGAAACAAUCGAUAUGUGAACUGCAUGUUUGUUUCAGUGGUCCAAGAGUUUGAGUGUGUUUUCUUGGGACAGCUAUGAGAAUUGGAGAAAGGUGGACUUCUGACUUGCUCAUGAAGGCAGUUUGCAUCUACACAAUGAUGUGGUACUAAGUCCUGAGGAUUUUUCCAUCCCUUCAAAUGAGUUCCUGUUUCAAGUUACACUUUAUUUCUGCAACCAGAUGAGUGCACA